rnacentral:rRNA from 1 species
CCGUAGCCCAAGAGAUCGGGAUAACACCUGGAAACAGAUGCUAAUACCGGAUAACAACAGAUGAUGCCUAUCAACUGUUUAAAAGAUGGUUCUGCUAUCACUCUUGGAUGGACCUGCGGUGCAUUAGCUAGUUGGUAGGGUAACGGCCUACCAAGGAGAUGAUGCAUAGCCGAGUUGAGAGACUGAUCGGCCACAUUGGGACUGAGACACGGCCCAAACUCCUACGGGAGGCAGCAGCG